rnacentral:lncRNA from 1 species
CUGCGCUGGGUAGUGCGUCUUCUGGGCUUGGUGGAAGGAGGGCUGGGCUGCUGGCCGGGUAACGUUCUGCUCGUGUAUCACCGGAAUGGAGAUGUACCCCCGCGGGAGCUGGUGACUGCCCAGGCUGCUCCUGCCGGAGGAAGGCAGGCUGGCCGAGGAGGAUGAGGAUGAGCAGUCAGAGGCAGCUGGAGACUGGGACCGCUGCAAGAGACACAGGGUAGAGGGCAUGACCCCACAAAUGACUCCCCUGGCUUGGCAUCCUGACCACGCCUUCUGCUGUGCACCUCCUCAGGGCAAUCCAUAUUGUAAGACCUCCUAUCUGUAAUUUUCAAUUUUCAAAAUGUGCGGUUAAGACUGAGAGCUCUGGGGCUGGGCGCGGUGGCUCACACCUGUAAUCCCAGCACUUUGGGAGGCCUAGGUGAGUGGACCACCUGAGGUCAGGAGUUCAAGAGCAGCCUGGCCAACAUGGUGAAACCCCAUCUCUACCAAAAAUACAAAAAUUAGCUGGGUGUGGCGGCGCAUGCCUGUAGUGCCAGCUACUCAGGAGGCUGAGGCAGGGGAAUUGCUUGAACCUAGGAGGCAGAGGUUGCAGUGAUUUGAGAUCACACCACUGCACUCCAGUCUGGGCAACAGAGAGAGACUCCACCUCAAACAAAGCAAAACAAAACAAAACAAAACAAAACACACACACACACAACAAAGACUGAAGGCUUUGGAAUCAAGGGGCCUAUGUUCAAAUUCCUAGUAAUUCAAUCAUUUUCUAAGCUUCAUUUGAAAUAUAGGAAGAGUGCCCCUCCCUCACUGGGCUGCUCUGAAGAUGAGGUCAGUCACCUGGGCAUGUGCCUCAGCCCCAGGCCAGCACACAGGAAGCGCUCAUACAAGGGAUGUGUUGUCCCCACUACCCUUUCUCUGCCAAUCUACAGAGAACUCGGCUGAGCAACUGGGAGCUGCCAGCAUCCCGUGUGGCCCAAGGCAGGUCAAGCACCUUUCCCUGCUGGGCCACCUUCUAUUCACCUCGAAAUUGAGAGCAUUUCCUCUUCUAAGUGCUUUGUUAGCCUAAAUUUGUGAAGAUGUCUCGCAUUUAUGUGUCACUUUGAUUUCUUGCAGCAAAACCAUUAUAAAUAUAGGCAUUACUUAUUUUUUUAUUUUUGAGACAGUCUCGCUCUAUCACCUAGGCUGGAGUGCAGUGGUGCGAUCUCGGCUCACUGCAACCUCUGCCUCCUGGGUUUAAGCAAUUCUCCUGCCUCAGCCUCCUGAGUAGCUGGGAUUACAGGAAUGUGCCACCAUGCCCGGCUAAUUUUUGUAUUUUUUGUAGAGACGGGGUUUCACCGUGUUAGCCAGGCUGGUCUUGAAUUCCUGGCCUCAAGUGAUCCACCUGCCUCAGCCAGGUACUACCUCUCUAAGAAAAGAAAAAAGGUAUCCCACAUUAACUGUAACUUUCACUCUCAAGCAGGUGUGAAGCUGAACAGAUUCAGACGGAGCUGAGAGGCAAGCAUGACUCAGGGUGCAGAUAGGACACGGGAGUUUGUGCCCAGGAACAACGCUGGCACACACCACAGGAUGAUGUGCAGACAGGAAAAUGAGAGGACUUACUGCUUAGGAAUCCUACUAGGAAUGCCUCAAAUCUCAGCUAAGAACCAGAUUAAGAACUAUUUUUUAGCUAUUAAUGCACAGAAUCCAUUGACAUAUCCCUGAGAUGUUUGGCUUCAGGAUUAAAAUGCUGUCUUAAAGCAGCUGCCUU